rnacentral:rRNA from 1 species
AUUGAACGCUGGCGGCAGGCCUAACACAUGCAAGUCGAGCGGAUGAGGGGAGCUUGCUCCUGGAUUCAGCGGCGGACGGGUGAGUAAUGCCUAGGAAUCUGCCUGGUAGUGGGGGAUAACGUCCGGAAACGGGCGCUAAUACCGCAUACGUCCUGAGGGAGAAAGUGGGGGAUCUUCGGACCUCACGCUAUCAGAUGAGCCUAGGUCGGAUUAGCUAGUUGGUGGGGUAAAGGCCUACCAAGGCGACGAUCCGUAACUGAUCUGAGAGGAUGAUCAGUCAAACUGGAAAUGAGACACGGUCCAGACUCCUACGGGAGGCAGCAGUGGGGAAUAUUGGGCAAUGGGCGAAAGCCUGAUCGAGCCAUGCCGCGUGAGUGAAGAAGGUCUUCGGAUUGUAAAACUCUGUUAGUAGGGAAGAAAGACUGUAAAAUUAACUCUUGCCGUUUUGACGGUACCCAAAGAAAAAGCCACGGCUAACUUCGUG